GACGAACGCUGGCGGCGUGCUUAACACAUGCAAGUCGAACGGAAAGGCCCUGCUUUUGUUGGGUGCUCGAUUGGCGAACGGGUGAGUAACACGUGAGUAACCUGCCCUUGACUUUGGGAUAACUUCAGGAAACUGGGGCUAAUACCGGAUAGGAGCUCCUGCUGCAUGGUGGUGGUUGGAAAGUUUCGGCGGUUGGGGAUGGACUCGCGGCUUAUCAGCUUGUUGGUGUGGUAGUGGCUUACCAAGGCUUUGACGGGUAGCCGGCCUGAGAGGGUGACCGGCCACAUUGGGACUGAGAUACGGCCCAGACUCCUACGGGAGGCAGCAGUGGGGAAUAUUGCACAAUGGGCGGAAGCCUGAUGCAGCAACGCCGCGUGCGGGAUGACGGCCUUCGGGUUGUAAACCGCUUUCGCCUGUGACGAAGCGUGAGUGACGGUAAUGGGUAAAGAAGCACCGGCUAACUACGUG
rnacentral:rRNA from 1 species